rnacentral:rRNA from 1 species
GACGAACCGAGCGAACGUUAUUCGGAAUCACUGGGCUUAAAGGGCGCGUAGGCGGGCCGGCGAGUCCGGGGUGAAAGCCCCCAGCCCAACUGGGGAAGUGCCUCGGAUACUGCCGGCCUCGAGGGAGGUAGGGGCGUGCGGAACUUCCGGUGGAGCGGUGAAAUGCGUAGAUAUCGGAAGGAACACCGGUGGCGAAAGCGGCGCGCUGGACCUCUUCUGACGCUGAGGCGCGAAAGCCAGGGGAGCGAACGGG